rnacentral:rRNA from 1 species
GAGUUUGAUCGUGGCUCAGAUUGAACGCUGGCGGCAUGCCUUACACGUGCAAGUCGAACGGCAGCACGGGAGCUUGCUCCUGGUGGCGAGUGGCGAACGGGUGAGUAAUGCAUCGGAACGUAUCCUGGAGUGGGGGAUAACGUAGCGAAAGUUACGCUAAUACCGCAUAUUCUGUGAGCAGGAAAGCGGGGGACCUUCGGGCCUCGCGCUCUUGGAGCGGCCGAUGUCGGAUUAGCUAGUUGGUGAGGUAAAGGCUCACCAAGGCGACGAUCCGUAGCAGGUCUGAGAGGAUGAUCUGCCACACUGGAACUGAGACACGGUCCAAACUCCUACGGGAGGCAGCAGUGGGGAAUUUUGGACAAUGGGGGCAACCCUGAUCCAGCCAUGCCGCGUGAGUGAAGAAGGCCU